GACACUUGAUCGAUAAUAUCAAACAUGAAGCAAAUAAAAAUUUUAUAUCGAGAGAAGAAACGAAAUCGAGUCAUCGACCGAAAAAACGUCGAUACUAAAGAGAAUAUUUUAUCGCAAUCGAUCGAUACCGCGAGUUAUACUGCAAGUGCGUAAAUGGCCGCGAGCCUUUAUUUAAUAAGUUGUUAUAAAUUAAAGGGCUACUGCAUAUUAAACCACUCUCGGCAUAUUUAUAAUGAUUCUUAAGAGACUAUGCUGAGCGUAUGGAUAUGUAAAUCAACUUUGCCGCUGUUUCGAUUCCGCUACAUUUCGAUCCUUAUUUGCCUCGCUAUAGCAGCAAAGGAUUCUUCGCGAUUUCUUCUCUCUACGCUCUUUUACUUCGUUGCGUUACCGCGCGUCCAUCUUGACUACCGGAUAUUGUGUAAGUGAAUAUAUAUAGUGUUCGUGUAUUUUCGUGUAAGUUCGUGUCCACGUCGUAUCGGGUGAAACCAGAGGUCCGGACUCUAUACACGUGCAGACAUGCUUAUGAAUUUAUCUUCGACGAUGAAACGACAAACGGUUUUAAUUGCCGCCCCGGGCUACGUAGAGAUCGCCGCAAGUCUUAUAGGAUUCUCCGUUUCUUCUUUGCCUCGUUAUCUCGUGGUGAAGCCGCACCGAUAAGUGUUUCGACUUUAUCCAUCGUGAUAGAGAUGUGAGAUUCGUAAAAAAAAAACGCAAAAGAGAAGUAACUAUAGAGAUUCUGAUUCGAAGUCUGAAGGGUACUUGAAAACGAAAAUGGCAAAGAAAUCGCAAACGGCAAUCACGGACUAAGUACUAACCUAAUCAACCAAUCUUCGUUCUGUUCCUCUGUUUCACUGCUCCUCGAUUCUUUUACUCAAAGAAAGAAAAUGAUUCGCUACCCUCGAAUUAUCCUUUUUGUUACAAUUCUUCUUAUCGAAUGAAGUUUAAACUAUAGAUCGGUCUACUCUUUCCCGAUUGGAAUGACUUAUGGGCAUGCGGCGUGCUUUUGGUCUCCGCGAGUCUAUCGCAGGAUUAUAGCGAGCCAUGCAACUAUAAUAAUCUUCCUCGUGGCGAUUUUUACUUCUCUUCGAUAAUAUUGGAAUUUUGAUUGAUGAAGUGAUUUUUGCUGACUUUUAAGAAAUGGAUCAAAAAUAAUGGAUAAAAUAACAUCCCAGUACAAUUGGAUUAUAAUCUCCAAAACUUGAAGAAAAAUACAAAACAAUUGCUCUUCCCUAUUCUCUGCGCUCAACAUUCCAAUUAAUGUAAAUCAUAGUAGUAACGAUACUACUCCACUGGGAUCGCUUCGUGGAAAUUUCCGUGCAUUCCGAAAAUUGCCAGGUCCCCAAGUGAGCGAAAAUUGGAUCGUUUGUAUCAUUUGCGACUGUAACGCCGGCAAAUGCCAUCCCAGGCUAUUAUAAACACGAUAGAAUGAGGUUUGGCAGAGAGUAGGCCAAUGAUCGGAUUAUCCUGGAAACUUCUUGGGCAGAGAAACACCCGUGAACUUAGUAUGUGCCGAGAAGCGUGUACCAUGCUCGUAUAUCGACAUAAGGCAUUGUUAGGAUUCCCGGGGGACAAACCGAGAUCAAACGCUGUUAGCGCAAACUAUGCCCUCGAUUCUCGCUUAAGUUCAUUUUAGUACCAUACCUCCAACCUUGCAAGAUGUGUUACUAGAUGUGUACUAAUGCCUUUUAUUUGGAUUUAUUUUUAUUCUUUAAUUCUGUGUUUUUUUUUUUUAGAUGGUGGAUUUAUUAGAUGGUGGUGAUCUUAUUUAUUAGUAAUCAUUCCUAUUUUGUCGACAUUUAUUUAUUUUUAAUAGAAGAUAUAGACAAUGUUUGUACAUUUACAUGAAGAAGAAUGUUAAAAAUAGUUUUAGAUGAUACUGUUUUUGCUGAAUAUAAUUAUAUAAGUAAUCCAAGUUGCCUGGAGAGAGUUAAUUAUUAUAAAUAUAUUAAAUAUUGGAUUAAUCAUUAUUAUUAUAUCAACUUUUUUAUUUAUUUUGGAAAUUAAUCUUCAAGAAUAGAUUCUCCAAAAAUUUCUUAUGAAUAUAUUAACAUCCUAUAUACACAUGUAUCUGGUGCACACGAGGUUUGGUAUAUCGUAUCCGAAAAAAAGCAUUCGUGAAGCGGUGGCCCGACAAUGGCGGCCAGUAAUAAAUUAUAAAUCGAAAAAAGGAGGAACAACAGCAACAAGAAGCGGCAACCGCGGCGAGUUACGGUUUCGCGUUAAAUAUGAAAUAUUGCUAUCCAUGUCUCGAAAGUGCGCAUGUAUACAAGGUAGAAUGUGUAUACGUAUACAUAUAAAAGUAGUACGGUAUUAAGUAGCUGUUUAACAUAUUUUAAUUGCCAAACUAAAAUUUGAAAUACCACUAUAUGCUAGUUAUAAUAACUUUCCUAAUAUCUAUUAUAAAUCUUUGUAAAACAUUUGUCUAUAAAAGUGGAAGUUUAGUGGAAGUGAA